rnacentral:rRNA from 1 species
UACGUAGGGUGCAAGCGUUGUCCGGAAUCACUGGGCGUAAAGGGCGCGUAGGUGGUGGCUUAAGCGUGCGGUGAAAGCUCGGGGCUCAACCCCGAGUCGGCCGUGCGAACUGGGCUCACUGGAGCAUAGUAGAGGCAGGUGGAAUUCCGGGUGUAGCGGUGGAAUGCGUAGAGAUCCGGAAGAACACCGGUGGCGAAGGCGGCCUGCUGGGCAGUUUUGCUGACACUGAGGCGCGACAGCGUGGGGAGCAAACAGG